UAUUAUAAUAGAAGCAAAAUUUACACAGUCAGUUACAGAUAGAACUCCUUGUUCUACUACUUUCCCCCUCCUCACUACUGCACUUGACUAGUAUUAA
rnacentral:sRNA from 1 species